rnacentral:rRNA from 1 species
GAUGGGGGCAAAUGUUCUUCACAAAGACUGGGCAUGAAGGGUACGUAGGCGGUGAAUCGGGUUGAAAGUGAAAGUUGCUAGCAACUGGCGAAAUGCUCUCAAAACCAAUUAACUUGAGUGUGAUAGAGGAGAGUGGAAUUUUAUGUGUAGGGGUGAAAUCCAGAGAUCUACGAAGGAAUGCCAAAAGCGAAGGAAGCUCUCUGGGUCCCUACCGACGCUGGGGUGCAAAAGCAUGGGGAGUGAACAUG